rnacentral:rRNA from 1 species
UACGUAGGGGGCAAGCGUUGUCCGGAUUUAUUGGGCGUAAAGAGCGUGUAGGCGGCCAGACAGGUCAGCUGUGAAAACUCGAGGCUCAACCUCGAGACGUCGGUUGAAACCGUCUGGCUAGAGUCCGGAAGAGGAGAGUGGAAUUCCCGGUGUAGCGGUGAAAUGCGCAGAUAUCGGGAAGAACACCCGUGGCGAAGGCGGCUCUCGUGGGACGGUACUGACGCUGAGACGCGAAAGCGUGGGGAGCGAACAGG